UGGGGGAUAUUGCACAAUGGGCGAAAGCCUGAUGCAGCGACGCCGCGUGGGGGAUGAAGGCCUUCGGGUUGUAAACUUCUUUUGCUCUGAACAAGGCAUGCCUUUGGGGUGUGUUGAGUGUAGGGGUUGAUUAGCGCCGGCUAACUACGUGCCAGCAGCCGCGGUAAUACGUAGGGCGCGAGCGUUGUCCGGAAUUAUUGGGCGUAAAGGGCUUGUAGGUGGCUGGUUGCGUCUGUCGUGAAAGCUCAUGGCUUAACUGUGGGUUUGCGGUGGGUACGGACUGGCUUGAGUGCAGUAGGGGAGGCUGGAAUUCCUGGUGUAGCGGUGGAAUGCGCAGAUAUCAGGAGGAAUACCGGUGGCGAAGGCGGGUCUCUGGGCUGUUACUGACGCUGAGGAGCGAAAGCGUGGGGAGCGAACAGG
rnacentral:rRNA from 1 species